UCAAGAGUUAUUCCGGAGCCGGGGGAGACUUUGGCUGCUGCCUCUGUGCCAGGCUGGUCGGGACGGAGCCCAGACGCCUGCACGGAGGAGUUCAGGGUGGGGCAGCUUAUAAGAUCAGGUAGGAUGAAACACCCCCUUCCCAGGUCCCCACCCUCCUGUCCCAGACUGGGGCUCGCGUGGCUGGGAGCCAGGCAUCGGCUGAUGUCUCCCUUUGUUUUGCAGCAAGGAGAAGGUUCAGCCUGGGAGCCGCCGCAUCCCAGGAGGGACUGGAGCUGAGACAACGGCCUCUCGCCUCACAGGGUAUGGCUUCUGCACCACUGUGGCUGCUGUUGAAGCCCCCUCC